GACGAACGCUGGCGGCGUGCUUAACACAUGCAAGUGGAGCGACGAACCGGGGCUUGCCCCGGGGCAGAGCCGCGAACGGGUGAGUAACACGUGGGUUACCUGCCCUGAUGACCGGGACAACCCGUCGAAAGACGGGCUAAUACCGGAUGUGCCCGCAAGGGGAAAGGAGGCGUAAGCUUCCGCAUCGGGAUGGGCCCGCGGAGCAUUAGCUUGUUGGUGAGAUAAAAGCUCACCAAGGCUUCGANGCUUAGCUGGUCUGAGAGGACGAUCAGCCACACUGGGACUGAGACACGGCCCAGACUCCUACGGGAGGCAGCAGUGGGGAAUCUUGCGCAAUGCACGAAAGUGUGACGCAGCAACGCCGCGUGCGGGAAGACGGCCUGGUGUAACG
rnacentral:rRNA from 1 species